AACGAACGCUGGCGGCAUGCCUAACACAUGCAAGUCGAACGAGACCUUCGGGUCUAGUGGCGCACGGGUGCGUAACGCGUGGGAACCUGCACUUAGGUUCGGAAUAACUCCCCGAAAGGGGUGCUAAUACCGGAUAAUGUCUUCGGCCCAAAGAUUUAUCGCCUUUGGAUGGGCCCGCGUUGGAUUAGCUAGUUGGUAGGGUAAACGCCUACCAAGGCGACGAUCCAUAGCUGGUCUGAGAGGAUGAUCAGCCACACUGGGACUGAGACACGGCCCAGACUCCUACGGGAGGGAGCAGUGGGGAAUAUUGGACAGUGGGCGAAAGCCUGAUCCAGCAAUGCCGCGUGAGUGAUGAAGGCCUUAGGGUUGUAAAGCUCUUUUAACCGGGAUGAUAAUGACAGUACCGGGAGAAUAAGCUCCGGCUAACUCCGUG
rnacentral:rRNA from 1 species